rfam:Verticillium longisporum isolate VL1 genome assembly, contig: scaffold_1647
UCGCAUGAUGAUAAAGGACCCGAGGUCCGACUUAUAACCCAGCUCGUCGAAUGCCUCACAAUAAACGCAGAGUGCAUACUGAGAUAAAAAAUCAUACUGACUU